rnacentral:rRNA from 1 species
GUGAAGAAGGCCUUCGGGUUGUAAAGCCCUUUUGUUGGGAAAGAAAAGCAGUCGGUUAAUACCCGAUUGUUCUGACGGUACCCAAAGAAUAAGCACCGGCUAACUUCGUGCCAGCAGCCGCGGUAAUACGAAGGGUGCAAGCGUUACUCGGAAUUACUGGGCGUAAAGCGUGCGUAGGUGGUGGUUUAAGUCUGUUGUGAAAGCCCUGGGCUCAACCUGGGAAUUGCAGUGGAUACUGGGUCACUAGAGUGUGGUAGAGGGUAGCGGAAUUCCCGGUGUAGCAGUGAAAUGCGUAGAGAUCGGGAGGAACAUCCGUGGCGAAGGCGGCUACCUGGACCAACACUGACACUGAGGCACGAAAGCGUGGGGAGCAAACAGGAUUAGAUACCCUGGUAGUCCACGCCCUAAACGAUGCGAACUGGAUGUUGGGUGCAAUUUGGCACGCAGUAUCGAAGCUAACGCGUUAAGUUCGCCGCCUGGGGAGUACGGUCGCAAGACUGAAACUCAAAGGAAUUGACGGGGGCCCGCACAAGCGGUGGAGUAUGUGGUUUAAUUCGAUGCAACGCGAAGAACCUUACCUGGUCUUGACAUCCACGGAACUUUCCAGAGAUGGAUUGGUGCCUUCGGGAACCGUGAGACAGGUGCUGCAUGGCUGU